rnacentral:misc_RNA from 1 species
UGGUUCUCGCAUCGAUGAAGAACGCAGCGAAAUGCGAUAAGUAAUGUGAAUUGCAGAAUUCAGUGAAUCAUCGAAUCUUUGAACGCACAUUGCGCCCCUUGGCAUUCCGGGGGGCAUGCCCGUUCGAGCGUCAUUACACCACUCAAGCCUGGCUUGGUAUUGGGCCCCGGGGACUCCCCCGCGCCCCCAUUUCGUCGGCUGGACGGUUGGAAUCUCGGCGUUGUGAAUCAAUUCGCUGACGAGGACGACCGGCCGGGCCGUUAAACCCUUUCAUUCAGGUUGACCUCGGAUCGGGUAGGGAUACCCGCUGA